UACGAAGGGGGCUAGCGUUGCUCGGAAUUACUGGGCGUAAAGGGCGCGUAGGCGGACAGUUUAGUCAGAGGUGAAAGCCCAGGGCUCAACCUUGGAAUUGCCUUUGAUACUGGCUGUCUUGAGUUCGGGAGAGGUGAGUGGAAUGCCGAGUGUAGAGGUGAAAUUCGUAGAUAUUCGGCGGAACACCAGUGGCGAAGGCGACUCACUGGCCCGAUACUGACGCUGGAGGCGCGAAAGCGUGGGGAGCAAACAGGG
rnacentral:rRNA from 1 species